rnacentral:tRNA from 1 species
GCGGAUGUAGCUCAGUUGGUAGAGCGUCUAGCCUACAGCUAGGAGGUCAGGGGUUCGAAUCCCCUCAUCGGCU